rnacentral:rRNA from 1 species
UAAGUCUGUGGGAUCUGGCUUAUGGAGGGGGAUAACCAUUGGAAACGGUGGCUAAUACCGCAUGAUGUCGCAAGACCAAAGUGGGGGACUUUAGGGCCUCACGCCAUAAGAUGAACCCAGAUGAGAUUAGCUAGUAGGUGCGGUAAUGGCGUACCUAGGCGACGAUCUCUAGCUGGUCUGAGAGGAUGACCAGCCACACUGGAACUGAGAGACGGUCCAGACUCCUACGGGAGGCAGCAGUGGGGAAUAUUGCACAAUGGGCGGAAGCCUGAUGCAGCCAUGCCGCGUGUGUGAAGAAGGCCUUAGGGUUGUAAAGCACUUUCAGCGGGGAGGAAGGCGGUAAGAGUAAUAUGCUUAUCGAUUGACGUUACCCGCAAAAGAAGCACCGGCUAACUCCGUGCCAGCAGCCGCGGUAAUACGGAGGGUGCGAGCGUUAAUCGGAAUAACUGGGCGUAAAGGGCAUGUAGGCGGUAAGUUAAGUCAGAUGUGAAAUCCCCGAGCUUAACUUGGGAACGGCAUUUGAGACUGGCUGGCUAGAGUUUUGUAGAGGGGGGUAGAAUUCCAGGUGUAGCGGUGAAAUGCGUAGAGAUCUGGAGGAAUACCGGUUGCGAAGGCGGCCCCCUGGACAAGGACUGACGCUGAGGUGCGAAAGCGUGGGUAGCAAACAGGAUUAGAUACCCUGGUAGUCCACGCUGUAACGAUGUCGAUUUGGANGUUGUGGCCUAGUGUUAUGGCGUCCGAAGCUAACG